CUGAAUUGAUGAUCCUUUGUGU
rnacentral:piRNA from 1 species